rnacentral:tRNA from 1 species
CGGGGCGUAGCGCAGUUUGGUUAGCGUGCCUGCCUUGGGAGCAGGAGGUCGCCAGUUCAAGUCUGGCCGCCCCGA